GACGAACGCUGGCGGCGUGCUUAACACAUGCAAGUCGAACGGAAAGGCCCUGCUUUUGUGGGGUGCUCGAGUGGCGAACGGGUGAGUAACACGUGAGUAACCUGCCCUGGACUUUGGGAUAACUUCAGGAAACUGGAGCUAAUACCGGAUAGGAGCUCCUGCUGCAUGGCGGGGGUUGGAAAGUUUCGGCGGUUGCGGAUGGACUCGCGGCUUAUCAGCUUGUUGGAGGGGUAGUGGCUUACCAAGGCUUUGACGGGGAGCCGGCCUGAGAGGGUGACGGGCCACAUUGGGACUGAGAUACGGGCCAGACUGCUACGGGAGGCAGCAGUGGGGAAUAUUGCGCACUGGGCGGAAGCCUGAUGGAGCAACGCCGCGUGCUGGAUGACGGCCUUCGGGUUGUAAACCGCUUUCGCCUGUGACGAAGCGUGAGUGACGGUAACGUGUAAAGAAGCACCGGCUAACUACGUG
rnacentral:rRNA from 1 species